UCCUCGCUAGCUCAACGGCAGAGCGAGCGGCUGUUAACCGCUAGGUUCGAGGUUCAAAUCCUCGGCGAGGAGCCU
rnacentral:tRNA from 2 species